UACGGAGGGUGCAAGCGUUAUCCGGAUUCACUGGGUUUAAAGGGUGCGUAGGUGGGCAGGUAAGUCAGUGGUGAAAUCUCCGGGCUUAACUCGGAAACUGCCAUUGAUACUAUCUGUCUUGAAUACCGUGGAGGUUAGCGGAAUAUGUCAUGUAGCGGUGAAAUGCUUAGAUAUGACAUAGAACACCAAUUGCGAAGGCAGCUGACUACACGAAUAUUGACACUGAUGCACGAAAGCGUGGGGAUCAAACAGGA
rnacentral:rRNA from 1 species